rnacentral:rRNA from 1 species
AUUGAACGCUGGCGGCCGGCCUAACACAUGCAAGUCGAGCGGAGCGGCGGACGGGUGAGUAAUACCUAGGAAUCUGCCUGUUUGUGGGGGAUAACGUUCGGAAACGGCCGCUAAUACCGCAUACUCUCAGAUGAGCCUAGGUCGGAUUAGCUAGUUGGUGAGGUAAUGGCUCACCAAGGCUACGAUCCGUAACUGGUCUGAGAGGAUGAUCAGUCACACUGGAACGGAGACACGGGCCAGACUCCUACGGGAGGAAGCAGUGGGGAAUAUGGGACAAUGGGCGAAAGCCUGAGACAGCCAUGCCGCGUGUGUGAAGAAGGUCUUCGGAGUGUAAAGCACUUUAAGUUGGGAGGCGUUACCGACAGAAUAAGCACCGGCUAACUCUGUGCCAGCCGCCGCGGUAAUAC